rnacentral:rRNA from 1 species
UACGUAGGGGGCUAGCGUUGUCCGGAAUUAUUGGGCGUAAAGAGCUCGUAGGCGGUCUGUCGCGUCUGCUGUGAAAACUCAGGGCUUAACCCUGAGCUUGCAGUGGGUACGGGCAGACUAGAGUGCGGUAGGGGAGACUGGAAUUCCUGGUGUAGCGGUGAAAUGCGCAGAUAUCGAGGAGGAACACCGGUGGCGAAGGCGGGUCUCUGGGCAACAA